rnacentral:rRNA from 1 species
CCUACGGGGGGCAGCAGUGGGGAAUAUUGGACAAUGGGCGAAAGCCUGAUCCAGCCAUGCCGCGUGUGUGAAGAAGGCCUUCGGGUUGUAAAGCACUUUCAGUGGGGAAGAAAGCCUUGGGGCUAAUACCCUCGAGGAAGGACAUCACCCACAGAAGAAGCACCGGCUAACUCCGUGCCAGCAGCCGCGGUAAUACGGAGGGUGCGAGCGUUAAUCGGAAUUACUGGGCGUAAAGCGCGCGUAGGCGGUCUGAUAAGCCGGUUGUGAAAGCCCCGGACUCAACCUGGGAACGGCAUCCGGAACUGUCAGGCUAGAGUGCAGGAGAGGAAGGUAGAAUUCCCGGUGUAGCGGUGAAAUGCGUAGAGAUCGGGAGGAAUACCAGUGGCGAAGGCGGCCUUCUGGACUGACACUGACGCUGAGGUGCGAAAGCGUGGGUAGCAAACAGGAUUAGAUACCCUGGUAGU